CAGUCGCCGCGGUAAGAUAGAGGAUGCAAGCGUUAUCCGGAAUGAUUAGGCGUAAAGCGUCUGUAGGUGGAUUUUCAAGUCCGCCGUCAAAUCCCAGGGCUCAACCCUGGACAGGCGGUGGAAACUACCAAGCUGGAGUACGGCAGGGGCAGAGGGAAUUUCCGGUGGAGUGGUGAAAUGCGAUGAGAUCGGAAAGAACACCAACGGCGAAAGCACUCUGCUGGGCCGACACUGACACUGAGAGACGAAAGCUAGGGGAGCAAAUGGGAUUAGAUACCCGCGUAGUCCCUGUCUCUUAUAC
rnacentral:rRNA from 1 species